GAAACGUCUUAAAGGAGUCUUGGUGUGUCUGUUGUAUUCAACACUGGCGUGUUAUUAGUUAACAGAUUCAUUAUCUUGCAAAGUUAAAGUGUAUUAUUCCAUAUUUUAUAAGUUAUACACGAGCGAGACAGAGGAUAAACAUGGAGAUGAUUUUGGGUGUAUUUGGUGUUAAAGCUGGAAAGAGGACAACAACCGGAUAGAUUCAUCAUUGUCAACAUGAUCAUUUUCUUACCAUAUGGAAGCAGUUAACACAAUGAAAAUCACUUAUAAAACCAUGGGAAACUUGAGUUGAUUAUUUUGGUUUGAAGUUUUAUUUCAGAUUAUCCAAUUUGAUUAUUUUUAGGAAAAUAUCUGGAUUUAACUAGACAAGUUGAUUGGUUUGAUAUCUUGACAGGACACAUUUAACUAAACAUUUUGACUGUUUCAAUAUCCACUCAAAGUCAAUUCAAAUGAGCAUAAAUUCAGAUGAAUAAAUAUACCAUGUAUA